CAUGGGUGCUGCCGUUUCUGUAAGAGAGGCUUGCGAGUGCUGCAGCCAUGUCUUAUCUCGCUGAUGAUUAUGAGUCUGAGGCGGCUUAUGAUCCCUAUUCUUACCCGGGCGACUAUGAUAUGCACACAGGAGAUCCAAAACAGGACCUUGCUUAUGAACGUCAAUAUGAACAGCAGACCUAUCAGGUGAUCAAAAACUUCAUCCAGUAUUUCCACAAAACCGUCUCGGAUUUGAUUGACCAGAACAUGUAUGAGCUACAGGCCAGUCGUGUCUCCAGCGAUGUCAUUGACCAGAAGGUGUAUGAGAUCCAGGACAUCUAUGAGAACAGCUGGACCAAGCUGACUGAAAGGUUCUUCAAGAAUACACCUUGGCCUGAGCUAAAGCCAUUGCUCCACAGGUUGGCAAUGAUGCUGUCUUCCUGAUUUUAUACAAAGAAUUAUAUUACAGGCACAUAUGUGACACAGUCAGUGGGGGACCCUCCUUGGAGCAGAGGUUUGAAUUCUAUUACAACGACUGCAGUCUCUUCAACUACAUUCUUAAUGCUGAUGGUCCUGCUCCCCUUGAACUACCCAAUCAGUGGCUGUGGGAUAUCAUUGCUGAAUUCAUCUAUCAGUUUCAGUCAUUUAGUCAGUACCACUGCAAGACUGCCAAGAAGUCAGAGGAGGAGAUUGACUUCCUUCAUUCCAAUCUCAAAAUCUGAAAUGUUCACAGUGUCCUCAAUGCCCUUCAUUCCCUGGUAGACAAAUCCAACAUCAAUCUUCAGUUGGAGGUGUGCACAAGUGGAGGUGACCUUGAGAGUGUGGCUGGGGAGUAUGGAUGGCACUCCCUCUACAAGAUGCUUGGUUACUUCAGCCUGGUGGGGCUUCUGCGCCUGCACUCCCUGCUAGGGAAUUACUACCAGGCCAUCAGAGUGCUGGAGAAUAUCAAACUGAACAAGAAGAGCAUGUAUUCCUGUGUGCCAGAGUGCCAAGUCACCACAUACUAUUAUGUUGGUUUUGCAUAUUUGAUGAUGUGUCGCUACCAGGAUGCCAUCAACUUCUUUGCUAACAUCCUCCUUUAUAUCCAGAGGACCUGUCAGUAUGAGACGAUUAACAAGAAGAAUGAGCAGAUGCAUGCACUAGUGGCCAUCGCCCUCACCAUGUACCCCAUGCAUAUCGACAAGACCAUUCACCUCCAGUUGCCGGAAAAAUAUGGUGACAAGAUGCUCACAAGUCUACCAGGAACUUUUUAGCUACUCCUGCCCCACGUUCCUGUCACCUGUAGUGCCCAACUAUGACAACGUGCACCCUAACAACCACAAAGAGCCCUUCCCGCAGCAGCUGAAGGUAUUUUCUGAUGAAGUGCAACACCAAGCCCAGCUCUCAACCAUCUGCAGCUUUCUCAAGCUCUACUCCACCAUGCUUGUGGCCAAGCUGGCCAGCUUCCUGGACCUCCCAGAGCAGGAGUUCCGGAUCCAGUUUCUUGUUUUCAAACACAAGAUGAAGAACCUGGUGUGGAUCAGUGGCAUCUCCGCCUUAGAUGGUGAAUUUCACUCAGCCUCUGAGGUUGACUUCUACAUUGACAAGGACGUGGUCCACAUUGCAGAUACCCAAGGUCACCAGGUGCUAUGGAGAUUUCUUUAUUCAUCAGAUACACAAAUUUGAGGAACUUAAUCGAACCCUGAAGAAGAUGGGCCGGAGACCCUGA